rnacentral:lncRNA from 1 species
GAUAAUUAGCUGUAUGAGAGAUACGCCUUCUCCUUUUGGAGGACUAACUAUCAUCAUUUCUCUUUUAGGGAAGACCAGGGAAGGAUGGGCAUCAAGGGCCCGCUGGAUAUGAGGUAGUUGUCCUGUCAAUCAGAAAUCUGUUUCUUUCUGUCUAACAUUGUUGAUUAUGUUACUGUUUUGUAAUGCAUUUUGUGUGUGUAUGUGUGUGUGUGUGCACUAUGUUUGUUUUUGUGUUCAUGCGUGUUGUGUUUGUGUAUAUGUAACUAUGGUGAUUAUACACUCUUGCCAUUUUUAGGGGAGAAAGGGGAAUCCUGGUUUAGCAGGACCUGAUGGAAUACCUGGACCGUGGGUCAGUCAUUACUACCAUUAAUUUCAUGUUGAGAAUGUGUGCGUGUGCCAAUAAUAAUGAUUUUUUGUUGUGUGUCUACCAGGGACAGAAGGGCGACCAGGGUCAAGACGGAGACCCUGGGGAGGUGACCAUGAUUGGCUGUGCCGUAAUUGGCCCGAAAGGACAACCAGGAUUUACUGGCCCCCUGGGGCCCACUGGGGUUACUGGUCCCCCAGGUACUCUACGCUCAUCCGGCAUACAGUACACACCCUUAUUGAUAUUCACCCUCCUCCUAUCCAAUCAGAUGUGAAGUAGCACUGUAUAAUCCUGCCUCAUUAACCAACAUGACCAAUCAGUGUGUCCGUAUAGCUAAUAAUAUCAACCUGUUUUCCAGGUGUCACUGGUUUCCAGGGGCCUCCUGGGUCUCCAGGUAAGCGCUGAUCCACACGCAAGCACUCACACACACACACACACACACACACACACACACACAUAUACUCAGUCUCCAUCAUGGGCUAUCUCCCCCUACACAGGUCCUAACUACGAAGGAGAUCCCGACAAUCGGGGAGUGAAGGGCCACAGUGGGCCUAAAGGGGAUAAAGGAGACCCAGGACCCAUCAUCCAGGGAGAGCCAGGCAGGGAAGGCUCACAAGGAACAACUGGAGACCUUGGACCCCCGGGACCACCUGGAGACUCUGGUUAGACUCUCCAUAAAUAAAGUAAUCUCUCCAACCCUGAGCCUAUAUUUAUAAAACAUCUCAA